CAGAACAGCCUUCAAAGGCUUGUUUCCAAAUAGAGUUCUAUUCUGAGGUAUUGGGGAUUAGGAUUCUGACAUAUGACCUUGAAGGGCACAGUUAAGACCUUCACCCUAGUUAUAGCAAUAAGACCACCAUUGGCUGAGAGGUCAUUACAACUGGACUCUUCCUGCCCUACAUCUGAUCACCUGAUCCAUGAGAGUCCACAGACUCUUCUGGAGAAGACUGGAGCUCAAGCAAGGUCAGGACAUGGCCAGCCUCAGGUCAAUGGCUCCUGCACAGGCUGGAAGAUGCAGAGAGGACCUUCUGCGAUAGGAGGAAGGUCUGACUUUGGGAACAAACUGCUAGCCCAAGAGCUUCCUGGUGCCUGCUCCCGCGAGGAAACAAACUCUAGGGAGCCAUCCUCAGUCCUUGAAAAGCUUCUGUUUCCUCUUCUGGAAGGACUGGUAUCCUCGGCAAGGUUGGUAGUCAUCCCAGCCAUACUGUGGUGGCUGCCUGUUUGGUCCGUGAGCCAGCUAACUCUUCAAUGGCCAGAAAUUUUCACAAUCUCCUAUGAUAUGCACAUGCUCUUCCAGAUUUGUACUGUUAGACUCAAAGUGAGUCUUAACUACUGGGAGCCCUCAUCCAAUUGAGUCAUGAGAACGAAAUUCGAUGCAAACACAAGAGGUUUAUUUUUCCAGCCCGUCAGGGUCGACAUUCAAUCAGCCCCUCAUGUCGAGUGACAAGAAGAUGACCCCAAAUGGCUAUAACAAGCAGAUUUUAUACUUUUUAGGGUACAGGUUAUAUCAGCAAGGUUACAGUUCAAACUUAUUGACUAAGCAUAGUGACCUUUAAAUCUAUUGGUUAGCAAGCAUGAGCUGAUUACAACAUGCAUUCGAACUCUAUCUGGGACUGGAGGAUCAGGUGACUAUCAGUCAGUAUAUUCUGCAUUUUUUUUUAAAGAGUGUCCCUGCUCCUCCUGAGAACUGUGGAGAGGGAAUGGAACUAGGCCUAGCCUUGCCCCAAGGCAGGUAGGUGUAAGGUUAGUGAAAAACCCUAGGAUCCUUCAGUACUUCUUCAAAACACAUUACCCCCAAAGCCUAUCUCACUCUCUCAGAGUGUGUAACUCUUGCCCUCUGAAUCAAGGAGAGCCAUGGUGAGAGACUGCCGUGGAUCCUGGGGAAUGACACAGACAAGACUCACAGGGGCCAGGGCACCAAGAGGUGAAGGAAAAGAAAAAUGGAAAAGAAAAAGAUCAGGACAGAAGUCCCUGGGGCAAGAUGCUGCAGAAAACUAACAGAGAGCGAGACUCUACAAGGAAGCCAUCUUGACUUCUUAAUCCACAGGGCAUGGGAUAUUCCUCAUGACCUCUCAGCCCCACCUUCCAGUGUGUCCACCGCCCUAAAGGCUCGACCCUCUUUGAGUUCCUAGGCUGAGCUUUGGAAUUCUCCAGAGUCCCUAAGCCAGCUCUUAGCUGAACACAACCACUAUUUUCCAUCCUGGGUCCAGCGUCAAUCAUCUGACCCCUCCUCUCUCUUCACGCACUCACCAGUGUGGUCUUCCCCAGUCACCAGCAACGACAAUGGCUGACUGUGACGCUCAUACUUGGAGCUUCCUCUGCUAAACGGUUCAGGAAAGACCUUAUCUGGCCAUCCUCCUCAGCUAGAGCAUCUUCGAGCUAUUUCUAUAGGGAUCUAUAUUAGUUAUUUUUCCCAUUGCUACAGCAAAACACUUGCCGGAAGCAACCAGAGGAGAGACGGUUGAAUUUGGCUGCGAGUAUGAGUGCUUACAGUCCACCGUCAUAAGGGAGGCGUGUGGUUGGAACUCCUCAGGUCUCCAUGGACCAGGAAGCAAAGAACGGACUAGAAGUGGUCCCCAGGGUAUAAAAAUCUCAAGACUCUUCCUCUAGCUAAACCUUACAUCCUAAGGGAUCCACUUCUCAAACCAGGACCACCAGCUGUGUAGAAGGCAUUCUGUACUCAAACCUCAACAGUCUGUCUCAAAAAGAGUCCCUCCCCUCUCUCUCUCCUCUCCCUAACUAAGCAACAACCAUCACACAGAUCCGUGACCGACCGGGUCUGUAGACCUCCUCCCUCUAGCUGUGCUCAGACACACAGGGAAACAAUGUGGCUUCCAAUAAUCACCUUCAAAUGAGCUUCAGAGAAACUGCCUGUGCGAAGCGAACCUUCUAGAAGCUCCCCACACACCAUUUUACGAGGAGAUUAAGAGAGUUGGCAUCUCUCGGACACGCCUCGGGGGUUUUCCCUCCCCCACACUUAGCACGCAAUUAACAUGCAGGCCCCGUAAUAACUGCCCUGGGAGCUGGAGUCUAAGCACUGCUCAGCGAGGUUAUUUAGAUCCUCAAUCAGAUCCACGCGAUCGAGGCCAAUUAUUUUCCUGGCAGAGUUAAUUAGAAUUUGUUUGAGAUGAGUGAGACUUGAGAGGGGGUGUUCCAUUCCUCACUCCUUCUCUUGUCACCUUGAACCUGGAGGCUUGUCCUUCAUUUCAAAAUCAAAGUACCUACGAGGCAGGAACUGAGCUACAACGCAAAGCCUCUUAAGCCACGUGACUACCUUCCUGUGUUGACUGAAAUACACAACUAAGAAAGCAGUCAGUCACACAGGUGUGGGAAGAGCUACAAGCAAUGAGGCCUAGGAGAAGCUCCGCCCUCCCAUGAGUGACAGCCUAGGAGAACCUCCCCCCCCCAUGCCAAUGAGUGACAGCCUAGGAGAACCUCCCCCCCCCAUGCCAAUGAGUGACAGCCUAGGAGAACCUCCCCCCACCCACCUCCACUCCCAGUUCUCCAGCUCACAGCUCUUUGUUGUCGGAGUAGACCAUCUGGUAUGACCAGUCAGGAGCAUACGGGACCUUUCCCAUCCUCCCUUUGGCCUUCUGCAAAAUGAACUUUGUGUAGCCCUGUGACGAAGGAACACAGGAGACAUUGUCCUGGGGUCAAACAACUUAGGAGUUCUAAGCUAAUGAAGGGAAGCAAGGACAGUACAUGAAGUAAAAGCAAGAGCGAGGGCCCGUGUGGCCUGACCCGGAAAGGAGGCACAGUGCGUGCGGAGAAGGGCUCCUUGAGUUUCCUGACCGUGUAUUGCACAUGUGAAGGAGAAGAGAGGCAGCACGUCCUACUCGUUGUACCCAGUGUCCUCUGAGCAGCCUCUGUGUGUGCUCUACCCCGCCCACAGGGACGCCCUUUGCCUAAUACCACAGUUCAAGGGACAUAGAACAAGAGCCCCAAGUGUUGGUAGACAGACCUGUAAGAACCUCUCUGCUCACACCAAAUACACUGACCUCCACCCUCCCCUUGGUUCAGGCAUAUCUUUGAGUUUUUGGUCUUAAGGGGGACAUCGUGAAAACAAGCGAGUGGCCAUUCUGCAAAGCCCCCGGACAGCUCUGACUCUGGGAGUAGGAGCCCCAAUCCGCUUGCCUCCUGGGUGCGUCUCCCUUCACUGGCUCCAAGCAUCCUGUGGCUCCCUUCCCACGUGUGCCUGUGUUCUACCUCAGCUCAACCCUGUCUCAGCCUAGUAGUUGCUGGUUCAUCACAUGUAUCUCCUUCCUUCCCCUCUGCCCUGGCUCCACAGCUUCUCUGCCGAGCCUGAGAGCCCAUCUGAAUAGGCUGGUUGUCCCAGGACCUGGAGCAUCAAGAGGAUACUUAGGAGCCAGCGCAGGCGGAUUGAUUCCCGCAGUUUCCAUGUGUUCUCGUGGCACACUUCCUGUGAGUGUGGCUCGAGCUCCUGAGGAGUGGCAUCUCCUCUGAAUUUGUAAGGGCCUACCCCAUCAGCAGGUGCAUCCUCCCCAGGAGAUAGUGCCAAUGACUGCCCUCCCGGAGGGCUCCAUCCCUCUCAGCUCUACUCAACCCGAUCUGGGAGCCUGGGUACUCUCUUUCUCCUCCCCUCCCUUCCUGGGGGCUCCCACACCCUCUGCUCACAUUCUCUGGAUCCUUCCUCCCCAUCGUCAAUGAUGCUGAGCCCUGCACCCCGUGAUGGAGAUUGCUGGGCAGGGUGAGAGUUACCAUGGAGAUCUCAGGAAAGAUUCCCAGAAACUCAGAGCAUCAGCAAGCUUGGAAAUAACUCAGUGCGGGCCACUACUGUAAGACAGCCUGCCGAGGGCUGGUCUCGUUAAACACCAGGCAUCAUGAGGGACAAUGGAGACUGGCUCUGUCGACUGUGGACUGUCUGACACAUGCUUUCCACAUGGCAGGUCAGGUCAUUACCCCACCCAAAGUCCUCUAAAGGGGUAGGUACCAUCCACAUCAUACAUGUGGGACACUAAGGCUCUGGUACCCGGGGUUAGAGCGGGGCACGCUGGCUCUGGACAAUAGGGGGGCAGAGAGGUCAGGACUAUACUGAACCCCUGGCCUGACCCCAACCCUGCCCUACUUUACCAUUUGCCUCCUUGGAUUUGGGUGUUUGUUGUUGCUGUUGCUGCUGCUGCUGCUGCUGCUGCUGCUGCUGCUUGCUUGCUUGGUUGGUUUUAGUUUUGUUUCAUUUACUUUUGAAACAGGUCCUCACACUAUACCCCAGAGUAGUAUUGAACUUGCUCUGAGGCCCAUGUGGGUCUGGAACUUUCAGCAAUCCUCCUGCCUCAGCCUCCUAAUGUAACAGGAUCCCUAGACCUUAGCACAACUGACUCCACGAUGGAAGGUACCACUCAGGCUGCAAACUCAGUCUAGACGGCACCACCUGCCCAAAGUAAAACAAAGUUCUAAUCCAUCCUCCAAGUCCAUAGCUCUGGGGAAGUCACUAAAUGGACUAACCUUGAGUUUUGGCUUCUGUAGUCCUGCUUCUGGCUAACUGUUCUUCUUGUUAACUGAAGUGUGUCAACCUAGAAUAUGGCUUCUGUGCUUAAAAGCUCAUCCUGAGAAAGGCUUGGCGCCUCGCCGAGGUCCUGAACGCCCAGUGUGAUCAAGUCUUUGGAUUAGCUUAAGCCCAUGCUCUCAGUGCUGGCCCGGAUGUCACAGUCUCUCGGGCUCGCAACAGGGCCGUUCCUGCAUGCCACUGACACCUGAAGGGUAAUCCUGCCUCCCACCUCCCGUUCCUGCCGCCUGUCUGGCUGGGUUCUGCUCAGGGAAAGCCCUCUCAUCUUCCUCAGUAGAGCUUGCUCCGGCCUACACUCCUAGCUGUUGUAACUUCCUAGCUGUUGUGAAAACUCGGUCAAGGUCAGCCUGUCGCACUGGACCAGAGUCUGCAGGGGGCAAGGAUAGCAUCUGCUUGCCGUGGAGUCUCCAAGGCUGGCACUGUGCCUGGCCUUCAGAUGCCUAUAAAACAGAGAACCAAACAGCAGGAUACUGGGGUCUCCUGCACCCCGGAGCCUGCUUUCGUGGGGUUUGAAUUGUUCUCCAUCUGAACGGUGGAGGGAAAUGGCAUUGACCUCGAGUGGGAGCCUAGUGUGAUAUCCACUUGGCCCAGAAAACCAGCAGGUGCGUCUCUUCCUGGCUUAGAUUUCUCUCUUUUUCUGUCAGUAAACCCAGAGAGCUAUUCACGUUUCAUUAAAUGGAUUCAGAUUGAAUCUAAAUGAGGGUUAAAUAUAAUUUUCUGAACACGACCAGGCUGUAAUUUCUGUGCCUAAAUAAAAAAAAAAAAAUAACAAACAGUUGAAAAGAAGAUUCCAGUGAGGCUUCACUUGGGGCAGGUGGGUGGUUCAAGCCCCUCUGCAUUUGCUUCAGAUAAUCCGAUUUGCUAUCUUUCCGUGAGUGCAUUUCUCCAGCCACCGCAGACAUAGGAGACCCAUGAACCAGCCACCUUAGCAACAGGGAAGGAGGCAGACAAGAGACACUUGUGGGCGCCCCAACAGAGUCCCUGGGGACUGACUAGGCUAACCGACCAUGGUCCUUUGUGUUUGCGAGAUGAAGUCGUGUUCGAAGCACGGUUCCUCGCACUCUGUUACCGGCUCUUGGGGCACCAUUAAGUUUCCCGUCUGGCCUCAGCAUCUCCUGUUGGAAAACGAUCAAAACAACCCUAGAAGCAGGUGGGCGAUAAAUUAAUGAACACAAUCUCUUCCUUCAAAUUGCACCCGGGAAGAAAUUAAUUACCGGGCAAAUGAGAAACAAAGAGGGAUCCCCGCCCCUCUGCAGCCUCCAAGCCCUCUGCGAUUUUGUUCUCCCGAAAUCCAAUUUCCGAGGAACACUUCAGGGAGGCUGCGGAGCCCGCAUUGGAUUCUUAGCAGCGCACUAAUGGGCAGCCAUCAUUCCUCAGUAAGGAGCCUGUGCCCCGCGCCAGGGCCGGGACUGACAAGGGCAAUAUUUCAGGGUAGCAACAGCUGGUCCCCAGCACUGUUAAUAAGCAACAGGCAGAUGGGGUGCCAACGGAACUGGGGGACUGGACCCCCGGAAGGUAGAUGUAAACUUUAUUUAUGGGAUAAUCUGCACCAGUGCAUAAAAUCUUUAUUUUUUUUCCAUAGCGAACAUUUUAUUCCUGCUGGAAUGCCAAUGUGCCUUCCAGGGCUCCCCACUGUCCUUCACAGAGUUUCUGAGGAGCAAGUCGCCUCUGACAAUGUCACCCUGGCAACUAUUUAUAGGACACUGCCACUCGGUAGGAUCUAAUGGCAGUGGAGCCGGGUGACCUCGAGAACACUGCCGCUGGCCCCUAAAUCUCUCACCUGUCACACUGGAGGAUUGCUUCCUGCCCUUGCUUUGGGCCGAUGGGUGGGACCGCCUCAUCUUCAGCUCUGCCCUCUCUGUGGGCCAUGGAAAGCUGGGAGUCCCUUUACUGAGUCAAUUGCAACGUUAACGUCUCAUCUCCAAGGCUUGCUCAGGAUGGGUGUGACCAGCUGGCUGCCCGGAUGCCUAACCAGGGACACGGGAUGAACUCUAACUCAGACACUUAGCAUCCAGCACUGGCUGUGCCUCAACCAUCGGAGGCUACAAGUCACACUCUCCAGGAACACCUAUUCCUGUGGAAUGUCACUUAACAGCUCAAAAUUAUAUACUCCGUCGCCUGAAGCUCCAAGGCCGUAAUGAAUGGCUUUGGUCCCGCCAGGGUAACACCCGAGACAGUUGCGUAAGGGACACGGGGUGGCUGAGAGAGAAGCCCAGACCACCUAUUUGUUUGCAUCUUCUGUCAAAGACGCAAGGUGUGUUUUUUUUUUUUUUUUGUUCUUUUUUUUCGGAGCUGGGGAUCGAACCCAGGGCCUUGCGCUUCCUAGGCAAGCGCUCUACCACUGAGCUAAAUCCCCAACCCCGCAAGGUGUGUUUUUUAAAGUACGUAUUUAUGCCAAAGCCUCAGCCCACAGACUUCUUUCUGACGCAUAAGAACAAAGAGACUUUGUGCACCCCUUAGACCAUUCCAGGGUCCCACAGCCACCAUGAGUUCUUGGCAUUGUCUGACAGCGUGCAUACAACAAGGGAUCCUGUUUUUCUGCUACUUUUGCCAGCAAAACAAUCCUAUGUCUGCUCAAUUAUAUUUAACACUGCCAGAAAAAUGGCUCUUUCCAAGAGGAAGGAGUGAUUUGCCUGGAACAGGAGUGGACACCACGGAAAGAAGAGGGCGGGUUUUGACGUAGGAACUGAUGUUGUGGGUCCCUCACUUUGUGCAGAAGGGUGCUAAGAUUGGUAUUUGUGUUGAUACGGCACCUCCAGGGGUGCAGAGGCUCCCUCAAGCCCCAUGUGUUGCAUUUGGAGCCCUUGAUGCUCUACCAACCACUCCUGUGCCAGGCAAGUUUCAAACAGAGUCAAUUGAGCCACUGGUAUAAGAAGGGAAGAUGGCUCAGUAGGUAAAGUACCUGCCUUGCAAGCACAAGGACCUGUGUUCGAUACCCAUCGACGCCUGAGUCUGGUGGUCUACACUUAUCCUUCCAGCCUGGGAAGCCAAAUGAGGGUAACUGAGAUUCUUCUUACUCAAACUGGGAGGAGAAUAUUAUUUUCUCUUUUUUGCCACUUAGAAUCAACUAAAGAUGUUUUCUACGGACGUCACUAAAAUUGCCGUUUCUGGGACAGAAACAAAGAUGGACGCCUUUCCCUAAACUGAUGAGACACUACCAACAGCUUCUCAGACUGUCGGGUCAGGACAUUUCUUACGCACUGCUCCCCUUUGAUCGUUCCCCCCAAGACAAGAUAACUCGAGGUGAUUGACUGUAGCAGAGCUGGGGAGAAACCCAGGCCUCUGACCCAGGCUUGAGGUCUCUCUUCAACCCGUGCUGAGCAGAGAGGAGACGUACCUGGGGCCCAAGGUGGUAACCACAAACUCCAAGGCCAUGGUCUGUACCGGCCUUGUCCUGUGGACAUGGAUUCAAAUAGACACUCUUUAGGAAGAAGAUCUCUAGCGCCCAGAUCUAUCACGCUUGUAAGGUUUAAAGUUAGCGCAAGAGUCUGCAAACCCCGCAAGCGCAGGUCACUGUCUGGGCCUAGACCCGGUAGGUGAGGCUUGGUUACAGGUCUCUGGACAGGGAUUUUGGAGGGGCAAGGCAUUCCAGCAUCCUACAUCCAACAAGUCAAUGGCAUCUGAAGAAAUGACAAUUAGUGGAUCAAUAACCAGCUUUCUCACACUCGUUUGAGUGGGUGUUGAAGGAGUGAGUAGGGGGAGACUUUCCAUUCCUCCCAAAGAUCCCUACAGCAAAGCAGUUGCUUCUCACUGCCAAGCUGAGCAUGGCUGGGCUGGAGGCUCUCUGUAAGGAGUGCUGGCCAUGGGUAGCCACACAGGGUUACAUUCACCCAAGCCUAUUCAUCCUGACCUCAUCCUCGUGGCAACCCGGGUGACAUCCAGCAAGCUAGCCUUGACCAUUCCCUGCCCCCAAGUCCUGGAACCUGUGAUGAAAGCCACUAUCACUAUUUCCCGAGGCCCUGGGGGCUCUGUCGAGGAUGAAGUUAAGUAGACAUUGACUGACUGUAACUCAUUCUUCUGGGGAAUAGGAGCACGCUCCAGGAGGAAGUAAGGAUAUGAUUUUACAGAGAAGCGUCUCAGGGUUCCGCAUGUCUGUUACCCAAUGGUGUGAAGCUUCAAGCUUUUCAUGGCAUAUCUGUAUCUAUUUAAACAAAACCCACUAGACUGUAACCCAGGAGAAAGUGUGGAAAUGGGAAGAAAACGUGCGCGUGAGGAGAAGAGGAACCGGCAGAAAGAGAGGAGGCAGAACAGAGCGGUGACCUGCUCAUCACCAUGACACAGUACACUGCAGUUUUCCAGAGAGUUCCCACAUUACACUACAAUGUGUCUGCUUAGAGUGCAAGGGACCAUCUGUCCCCUGGAAGAGCUGUCCUCUUCCUCUAGAGUGCUGCGUGUGGAGAACUUCUAACCUGGGGCCGGAGAGAGGCAACUGACCCCAUCUGUCCACCUGUCUUCUGCUAUCACAGCUUCUGUCACCAUCCGUUCCUGUCACGUGACAUUUCUAACUCCAAGCUGCUAGAGACCCAUGGGGACUAGAGGCAAUAACUCUCAACUUCAAGGAGAGACAACACCCAGAGGAAUGUAGGUAUGGUGGGAUGGGCUGAGACAGGAGGAGAAAUUGUGUCUCUUGGAGCCUUGUUUUCCCUCGUGGUCCCAACAGAUGAGUCCUUCUUACAACCACUACGGUGCUGUGGGACUUGCAGUGGGGAGGGGGGUAGAAAGCUCUCAUUUUAGCAUAUGCUGACAAUUAGAAAAUGAUGUGUUGGGGCCCAGUGUAUGUUGCAGCUAAAAUUAAAGAUGCAUCUAUCAGGAUUUCGGUAGCACAAUGUCAGGGGAUACACAAUGCACAGAGAAUAAUGAAGCUACAGCACGAGAAAGAAGGACCCCAAAUUGUUAUAAUUAUCUCUGCCGUUGUCAGCCAACCUCCUAAUGCGGAAACACAAUGGAACGAAACGAUGUUACCUGAAAGCAGACUCGUCCCCCAUGCCUUUGUCCCAUUGUUUCCUCCCCAGGCCCUGUUCCCACUGCGCCUUGCCUUGCUCAGAGCCCCGUCUAAUAAUUUCCUUCUUAUUAAUAUUUAAUAUAUCUGCACUGUGCACAUUUUAUAAAAUAUGUCCAUUGUAGAAAAAUAAAGGGAAUGAAAUAGCAAUCACGGGUAUGCGAGCUUCCCCACCUGAGAAAACACAAAAGGUUAAUAUCUCCACGC